UAAACCAGUUCUCAGGGUUCAGCCAUUGCAGAUUAUUGUGAAGGAUCUGGAACACCUUCUGUUCAGUAAGGCAUUUGAUGCCAUUGAGCUGCUGGUGGAACCCGAGCUGGAGCUGAUCAAUCUGUCCUCUCAGACUGGCAGAGAAUGCACCCUACAGGUGAUGACAAAUAUCUGCCCAGGAAUGCUGACUGGAAUUCCACCUUAAUGGAGUAACACAGAGUUUAGAGAAACCAGGAUCACAGAAGAUGAACCAAAAUACAGAGAUGGAGGCUGUUCAUAUCAUGUAGAGGAACUCUUGGCUAUGGGAGCAUUAAAGGAAACAUGACACCAUGGCAAAUGAAAGCCUCAGUCUGUCAUCCUGCUCUGAAGACUGUGGAUUUACCAAGCCUCCAUAAUCAUGUGAGCCAGUUCCUCAUAGUAAAUGUCCACUCUCCAAGUAGAUGUAGGUAUGGAUAAUAGAUACACAUGCAUCCUGUCAAUUGUAUUUCUCUGGACAACCCUGCCUAAUACAGGUAGGGAUAAUAUCAUAGGUUCUAUAAUCAGAAAUACGGCCUAAGGACCUGGAUCUGCCCUUUACUGUGUAUGUUGGAAAAGUUACUUUCUCUCUCUAAACCUUGGUUUCCUUAUCUUUAAAAUGGCUGUAACAAUUCUGCAGUCAUGCCAGGUUGCAUGCCAUCUAAUCUAGUAUUUCUAUUUCUUUGUUUCUGUUAUUCCCUUGCUGGUCAUAAAUUUGUUCCUUUCUACCUAAACUUUACUUUUCCUUUCAGACCUGUGGUGGCUUUAAAAAUAUGUCCACAAGUUUGUUGAUAAUCACCCUUUCAAGUUAAAUUGCCCUCCCUUCAAUAUAAGCUAGACUUAGUGAAUUGCUUGUAAUGAAUAGAAUAUGGCAAAUGUGAGAGUACAGUAUUUCUCAUUCUCUCUCUCUUUCAUCACUCGUUAUGAGGGAGCCAGCUGCCUGGUCACAAGCAGCUCUAUGGAGAGUCCCAGCAGCAAGGAACUGAAGCCUCCUGUCUGCGACCACAGACUGAACCUGGAAGCAGAUUCUUCAACCCUCAUGACUUCAGCUCCAGCCAACAACUUCAUUGUAACCUCAGGAGAGAGCUGAAUAAGAACAACCUCGCUGAGGUACAGUUCUUGAGCCUCAGAAAUUGCGAGAUACUAAAUAUUUAUUCUUUCAGUUUAAGUUUUGAGGCAAUUUGUUGCACAGCAAAUAAUUAGUGCCACAUUCAUUUCAAGUCUAUAAAACACUUCCCUCACCAAGACACAGAAUGUCUCCUUUCUUGGUUUCCCCAUAGCAUUCUGCAUAUAACUAUGAUAAAACUUUUCACAUUGUAUUAACAAUGUUUUUAUAAUGUGCUUGUCUUCCUUGCAAGGCUGCGAGUUGCUUGAAGGUGGUUCAUCAUUCUGUAUUAAGUGAAAACACAAAAACAAAAAAAACCCCUCAAAACCUUAAGCUUGGCACAUAAAGAACUCUUACAAUAGUUUAGGUAACAAUUAGUGUUUCCUAUGUGUUAUAUAUUGUCCUAAGCUUUUUUGGUAAAUAUCCUAUUUAAUUCUCAUGAAAACCCAGCAGAUACAUUAUUACCAUUUUACAGAUGAUGAAACUGAGGUCGAGUUAUAGAGAAGCUGUUUAAUUGGAUGAUGAUCUCACAGCUAGUGAACGUUGCUGAAUUAAAGAAAGAGUAAAAGAAUGUUUCCUAUAAAUGGGACCAUACACGACUCACCUUAGAAUCUCUUACUCUGCAUAGCCCAGUAUGCAAUCAGGACUUAAUAUUCAUUAAAUAACUGAUAAAAGCAGCUGAGUUAUGUGAGAAAGAAGUCUUGGAAAUCUUGGUUGUAGAUAAUUUAAAUUGAUUCCCAAAACAUAAUUCUUUUCCUUUACUGAGGAAAAAAAAGGUUAUAGUAAACAUAUGUUGUGAAGAGACUAAAAAUACACUUUGGAAGAUGUUUACAUUUCUCUCCACACCUUCUCCAUAAAUGCUUCACAAGAAUCAGUGUUGGUAGUUUGACUACAUAAGAUGUAUAAAAAAAGAUUUUUUUUUUGUUCUGAACUUAACUAAAUGUGGUGGCUCAAGAUGUAAAACAGUUUGCGAAAAUGAGCAAAUGGUAUUCUUUUUAAUGGUGUACUUUUCUUCCAACAAUGCCCAAGAAAUAUUUCUACUGAAGCCUUUAGGUUUACACAUUUCAAACAAGUGGUGGCUGUUUGACUUCUGGGCCUCCCUUAAAUAAAACUCGUGGCCCAUGAUCCUUCCUGGUGAGGUCUUUCUAAACAAGCACCUAAAUAUGAGAAGCCUAGAGCCAGAUUAUAGUCAGAGUUGGCCAGAGUCUGGAAAGCAGUUUGAGACUUCCUAUUUCAUAAUUUUUGACUUGUUUUCUCUGACAAGUUCCUCCCCACUUAAUAGUAGGUAGGAGAUCUUUAUAUCAUUUGGUGAAUGGGGACUCCUUUUCUCUUGAUAUCUAUUUGUGAGAUUUAUUCUUCUUACAUCCUGUCUCUGCAGAGAUUAAUGAACACAAAUAUUUUGAAAGCUUAAGAAGGAUCAUUAAGUGUUGGCAGAUGCUAAAGAUAAGUGGUUAUAAAGAUAAUAAACCACUUCUGUUGUUCCUGUAGGCCUUAUUAUUCUCCUACAAGACAGUACCUUCAUAAAUUGUCUACUAGAAACAUUACCCUAAAAAUUUCAUUUAGAGACAAUGAGACUAGAAGUUUCUGUUAUUAAAGAUUAAAUAGCCUGGUCUUCUAUACUCGCAAAAAUGUAAGCAGUGUACUACUAAUAAUUUUUUUUGAAAGAUUAAGGCUAGCAAAACACUUUGUGCUCAUCAAAUUUGAUUCCCUUCAGUUGUCCUAGACUCCUGAAGGGGUGUCAUUUUCCAUAGUUUUGCGUUUUGGAACAGAGCCUUUAUUGUGACAGCAUACUGUUUCUCCCGUGCUUCCUUAUUCUACCACUCUGCAGUUGAAGCAAGGCAUGUUUACACUUCAAGAUUCAAUAUUUCAGUCAUGAAAUAAAACACAUCUAAGAAAAUUUUAAUAACUCAUUUUCAAGCAAAAAUGAACUCUCUGGCAACAUAAAUAUAAACAGCUUGAUAAAAAUUUGUGUGUUCUUUUGGAAUAUUUGUUCUAAGAUGAAAUAAC